CAAUCGUUAUUUCACUGAAUGAACUCAAUGCAUCUGGCUCUUGUUUUGUUGGCCAUAUGUUUAAUACCACAGACUAGCUUUUCAUACGAGCUUCAAGAUACAAUUCACACUUUGAGAGAGGAGAACAUGUACUUAUAUCACAGAGUGAGAAACCUUACGCAGACUCUGCGAGAGCUGAGAAAACUUCUGGAUCACUCACAUGAGUCUGCUGUGGAUCAUGAAAGUGACAAAUUGCAUGCCUGAAAUGAAUGGAUUAAGAAGGGUAUCAGCACAGAGAUUCGUCUCAUGUUAGAACAAGCUUUCUGUUCUUCAUGCCAAGGCUGAUUUAUAUUCCCUAGGAGAAAUUCUUCUUGUUCUGUCAAGCUUCACUUGGAUUGGGAUUCUUUCCAUGUAAAUAUGGUCAUAAUAUCCUAACCUAACCUUCUUUUUUAAACUUUUUGUUGACUCAUAUUAAUCAGAGAGGCUCAUGCUAAUGGAUUGCUAAUAUUAGUUAACUACAAUAGUUAAACAAGCAGCACUUCUAAAAUGUCUACAGCAUAUAUGAAUCUGUUUAAAUUUUAAC